UACGUAGGGUGCGAGCGUUGUCCGGAAUUAUUGGGCGGAAAGAGCUCGUAGGCGGUUUGUUGCGUCUAUCGUGAAAACCUGCGGCUUAACUGUGGGCUUGCGGUGGAUACGGGCAGACUUGAGUUCGGUAGGGGAGACUGGAAUUCCUGGUGUAGCGGUGAAAUGCGCAGAUAUUAGGAGGAACACCGGUGGCGAAGGCGCCGCUCUGGGCCGAAACUGACGCUGAGGAGCGAAAGCAUGGGUAGCAAACAGG
rnacentral:rRNA from 1 species